rnacentral:rRNA from 1 species
GAUGAACGCUGGCGGCGUGCCUAAUACAUGCAAGUCGAGCGAAGCGGGGACGGGUGAGUAACACGUGGAUAACCUCCUAUAAGACUGGGAUAACUUCGGGAAACCGGAGCUAAACCGGAAACUUAUAGAUGGUGCCGCGCUGCAUUAGCUAGUUGGUAAGGUAACGGCUUACCAAGGCAACGAUGCAUAGCCGACCUGAGAGGUGGAUCUGCCACACGGGAACUGAGACACGGUCCAGACUCCUACGGGAGGCAGCAGUGGGGAAUCUUCCACAAUGGGCGAAAGCCUGACGGAGCCACGCCGCGUGAGUGAAGAAGGUCUUCGGAUCGUAAAACUCUGUUAUCAGGGAAGCGGUACCCAAACAGAAAGCAACGGCUAACUCCGUGCCAGCAGCCGCGGUAAUAC